UGUCAAAGCUUCCUGUACAGUUCCUGGAGGAGAGCCAACAUGCAGCGCAUGUGAACCAGGAACUUACCUUGAGCAUCCAAACUAUUUAUCCAGAUGUCGAGCCUGUCACUAUUGUCAUAUUGAGACUCAGAGUAUAGCAACAAACUGCUCAGCUACCGCUAAUACCCAGUGCAAAUGUAACGAGGGAAGAUACAGAAAAGAAGAACAAUGUGUCUUGUGCACAAAAUGCGGAAACAGAGAAACACUUCGAAACUGUUCACAGAAUGAAGACGCAAAGUGUGGUCAGUGUUUGCCUGGAUUCUAUGAAGAUGAAGAAAAAUGCCAGCCUUGCCCCCAGUAAGUCUGCUUGUUUGUCUACACAACA